GAUGAAGAACGUAGCGAAACGCGAUAAGUAAUGUGAAUUGCAGAAUCCAGUGAAUCAUCGAAUCUUUGAACGCACAUUGCGCCCGCCAGCAUUCUGGCGGGCAUGCCUGUUCGAGCGUCAUUUCAACCCUCGACCUCCCCUUGGGGAGGUCGGCGUUGGGGACCGGCAGCACACCGCCGGCCCUGAAAUGGAGUGGCGGCCCGUCCGCGGCGACCUCUGCGCAGUAAUACAGCUCGCACCGGGACCCCGACGCGGCCACGCCGUAAAACACCCAACGUCUGAACGUUGACCUCGAAUCAGGUAGGACUACCCGCUGAACUUAAGCAUAUCAAUAAGCGGAGGA
rnacentral:misc_RNA from 1 species